UGGGGAAUAUUGCACAAUGGAGGGAACUCUGAUGCAGCGACGCCGCGUGAACGAAGAAGGCUUUCGAGUCGUAAAGUUCUUUUAUAUGGGAAGAUAAUGACGGUACCAUAAGAAAAAGCCCCGGCUAACUACGUGCCAGCAGCCGCGGUAAUACGUAGGGGGCUAGCGUUGUCCGGUAUCACUGGGCGUAAAGGGUUCGCAGGCGGAAAUGCAAGUCAGGUGUAAAAGGCAGUAGCUUAACUACUGUAAGCAUUUGAAACUGCAUAUCUUGAGAAGAGUAGAGGUAAGUGGAAUUUUUAGUGUAGCGGUGAAAUGCGUAGAUAUUAAAAAGAAUACCGGUGGCGAAGGCGACUUACUGGGCUCAUUCUGACGCUGAGGAACGAAAGCGUGGGUAGCAAACAGA
rnacentral:rRNA from 1 species